UCUCUAGUCCGACAUUGUGGAAAGUCUUGUGGGGUGUAGCAAAGGUGGUAGCUUAAGCGAUCUUGAAAUACCACUACCCGCAGCCUCAUGGAAUAAGUACGACGACACUGCGGGUAGUGGUAUUUCGAGACGCGCGCUCGGCAUUGCAGGAGGCACAGUCACGUGGUGAGUUUGGGUGGGGCGGCACAUCUGUGAAGCAAUAAUGCAGGUGUAUAAGUGAAAACAUGUGCAUAGGUGCCGAAAUUAUGGGUCGUAAUCCGGAUG
rfam:Eimeria maxima Weybridge genomic scaffold, Emw_scaff212